rnacentral:rRNA from 1 species
AGGGUUCGAUUCUGGCUCAGGAUGAACGCUAGCGGCAGGCCUAACACAUGCAAGUCGAGGGGCAGCAGGGGGUAGCAAUACCCCGCUGGCGACCGGCGGACGGGUGCGUAACGCGUAUGCAACCUACCCGUAACAGGGGAAUAACGGAGGGAAACCUCCACUAAUGCCCCAUAUAGUCAGGGGACCGCAUGGUUUCGUGACGAAAGCUUCGGUGGUUACGGACGGGCAUGCGUGGCAUUAGGCGGUUGGCGGGGUAACGGCCCACCAACCUACGAUGCCUAGGGGAGCUGAGAGGCUAAUCCCCCACACUGGUACUGAGACACGGACCAGACUCCUACGGGAGGCAGCAGUGAGGAAUAUUGGUCAAUGGACGGAAGUCUGAACCAGCCAUGCCCGCGUGAAGGAAGACGGCCCUAUGGGUUGUAAACUUCUUUUAGCCGGGAGUAAUAAGGCGCACGUGCUGCGCCGAUGAAAGUACCGGCGGAAUAAGCAUCGGCUAACUCCGUGCCAGCCGCCGC